rnacentral:lncRNA from 1 species
CCUCAACGAGAUUUGCCCUGCAAACAAGUCUCAAGACCAAUUCCCACCUCUUUCACUAAGUUCUGCAGGAAUUCUCCCAUUGUAACGAGCCUUUGACCUAACCUCCAUUUCUUCUAAUACUGCCUGACAUCUUCCCAUCAUAUGUGAACAGUGUGUGUCUUCAGUGAAAGGCAAACUGACUCUGAUGCUCUGGGCCUAAAGAAAAGCAACGUGGAGGAAGAAAGAAAGAGAAAUCUCGACCUCGCUGGUCCUUCCCAGCAAUCUGUUGCUCCAGCAACUGAAAAAUCAAACAAUGAUGUCAAGAAGAUGCAGCCAGCCACGCUAAACCCGAUGUCCAGUUGCUGGAGCAACUCGUUGUUAAAGUAAGCGAUGCAACUGUUUGUUUCUUGGCAGUUUGGAAAAAAAAAACCAAAUAAUAAAGGAAAUAAGUUAGGGCAGAGGACAUGUACCUGGG